ACGCUGGCGGCGUGCCUAAUACAUGCAAGUAGAACGCUGAAGGAGGAGCUUGCUUCUCCGGAUGAGUUGCGAACGGGUGAGUAACGCGUAGGUAACCUGCCUGGUAGCGGGGGAUAACUAUUGGAAACGAUAGCUAAUACCGCAUAAGAGUAGAUGUCGCAUGACAUUUGCUUAAAAGGUGCGAUUGCAUCACUACCAGAUGGACCUGCGUUGUAUUAGCUAGUUGGUGGGGUAACGGCUCACCAAGGCGACGAUACAUAGCCGACCUGAGAGGGUGAUCGGCCACACUGGGACUGAGACACGGCCCAGACUCCUACGGGAGGCAGCAGUAGGGAAUCUUCGGCAAUGGACGGAAGUCUGACCGAGCAACGCCGCGUGAGUGAAGAAGGUUUUCGGAUCGUAAAGCUCUGUUGUAAGAGAAGAACGAGUGUGAGAGUGGAAAGUUCACACUGUGACGGUAUCUUACCAGAAAGGGACGGCUAACUACGUGCCAGCAGCCGCGGUAAUACGUAGGUCCCGAGCGUUGUCCGGAUUUAUUGGGCGUAAAGCGAGCGCAGGCGGUUAGAUAAGUCUGAAGUUAAAGGCUGUGGCUUAACCAUAGUACGCUUUGGAAACUGUUUAACUUGAGUGCAAGAGGGGAGAGUGGAAUUCCAUGUGUAGCGGUGAAAUGCGUAGAUAUAUGGAGGAACACCGGUGGCGAAAGCGGCUCUCUGGCUUGUAACUGACGCUGAGGCUCGAAAGCGUGGGGAGCAAACAGGAUUAGAUACCCCUGGUAGUCCACGCCGUAAACGAUGAGUGCUAGGUGUUAGACCCUUUCCGGGGUUUAGUGCCGCAGCUAACGCAUUAAGCACUCCGCCUGGGGAGUACGACCGCAAGGUUGAAACUCAAAGGAAUUGAC
rnacentral:rRNA from 1 species